GACGAACGCUGGCGGCGUGCUUAACACACGCAAGUCGAACGGAAAGGCCCUGCUUUUGUGGGGUGCUCGAGUGGCGAACGUGUGAGUAACACGUGAGUAACCUGCCCUUGACUUUGGGUUAACUUCAGGAAACUGGGGCUAAUACCGGAUAGGAGCUCCUGCUGCAUGGUGGGGGUUGGAAAGUUUCGGCGGUUGGGGAUGGACUCGCGGCUUAUCAGCUUAUUGGUGGGGUAGUGGCUUACCAAGGCUUUGUCGGGUAGCCGGCCUGAGAGGGUGACCGGCCACAUGGGGACUGAGAUACGGCCCAGACUCCUACGGGAGGCAGCAGUGGGGAAUAUUGCACAAUGGGCGGAAGCCUGAUGCAGCAACGCCGCGUGCGGGAUGACGGCCUUCGGGUUGUAAACCGCUUUCGCCUGUGACGAAGCGUGAGUGACGGUAAUGGGUAAAGAAGCACCGGCUAACUACGUG
rnacentral:rRNA from 1 species